rnacentral:rRNA from 1 species
UACGGAGGGUGCGAGCGUUGUCCGGAAUCACUGGGCGUAAAGGGCGCGUAGGCGGCCUGAUAAGUAGGGGGUGAAAUCCUGCGGCUUAACCGCAGGGCUGCCUUCUAAACUGUCAGGCUUGAGCACAGUAGAGGCAGGUGGAAUUCCCGGUGUAGCGGUGAAAUUCGUAGAUAUUCGCAAGAACACCAGUGGCGAAGGCGGCUGUCUGGUCCGGUUCUGACGCUGAGGCGCGAAAGCGUGGGGAGCAAACAGG